rnacentral:lncRNA from 1 species
ACCAUGAGUUCUUCAAACAUCUAUGCAACACUUGUAUCCUCCUUGAUGGCGACACAAUGGUAAAAUAAUUGCUCAAUUUUUAUAUCAUCCUUUUCUGAUAAUUUUCCUUUAGGUAAAUGAUGGUUCCAAAGGCAGGGAAAGAAAUAAAAACAUAUAUACGACAAAAAGUAUGAUGUAUAAAUGCCCUUGACAACGUUUUAUGUUGGGUAAAUUACACUAAACUCCCCUGAGGUUUCUGACAAUAACACGAACCUUCCCUAAAGUUUUUGAAGUGACAGUAACCUCCUCUGUUAAACAGAAGUUCUACUUUUACUUUUAUACCCCUUAACAUCUUGCGGAAACAAUCUGAUCCUAUUUCAAUAACCAAACAACCCAAAAAUACAAAUACACAACUCCUCUAAUUUCUACACUCGUUCACCAUUCAUCACCACUCAUAAUCUCCAAUUUUUCCCCUUCUCUCCCUCUCCCCCUAGGGUGUUUAGUAAAGGAUUAGGUUAAUAACUCUGUUUUGAAGAUUCCAUUAGCCCCUAAGCUGGAAAUUUCGAGAAUAUUCAUCAUUUUCAGAGCUUCAAUUGCCAUCAACAAUGGACUUCUCUAGAUAUUUCAAGUGGAAAGAUGAACCUCUAUUUGAUCGAUGGAAACAUCUAUAAAAGGAGGCAUGAAGCUUUCUUUGGGGUGUGGUUAUGUCAGCACCCACUUGGGGGUGUGGUGUGGUGGCAAGAAACCCCACUACCAAGUGGGUUACCCGUGUGUGCUUAUAAUGUAUCUCACAUGAAGUUGUGUGGUGAGUAUUUGGGUGAUGUCCUAUAGUAUGCCAUAUAAACUGUUGUGGUAAUAUGCCAUAUAAACUGUUGUGGUAAUAUUGUUGUCAUGCUGUAAAAUUAGUAUUUUUUAUGACUGGGAUUUUCUAAAAUUCAAUAUUUAAACUUUAGAAUAUAUUUGGCCGAGAACGGUUCAUUUGGUAAAUUGUGUCAACAAGAUCAUCGAAGCAAAAAAUCAAGUUGACGUAGUCGCAUGGUCCAAUCACAUUUGCUACAAAAAAUGGACGAGUUAUUUUAAAAAUUAUAUUUACUAUCCCGACAAAAAUUAACCUAUCAUGAGGCUACAACAGAGUCCAUGUAAAGUAGUGAACCUUAAUAAACCAACUAAUCACAGAGAUGGCUUUGUUCGUUUCUCAUUUCAGUGCAUUUUCCAUAAUGAAUUCUGAGAAAAUUUUAAAAUUAUUCCAAAGAAAUCCAAAAGAGUAGACAACUUCCUCAACAUUGUGUCAACUAAUAAUUCUGUCAGCGACAACUAUACUAUCGACAAAUGUCGACACUAUUAACAAACGUUUACGAAACUUCCUUCCAGACGUCCAACAUACCAAGUUUUCAUGUCGACACGACGACACUGUACCCAUCACAUGUCGAUACGAUAAAACAAAAUUCCACCACCAAGUCUCCUGUAUAAAUUGUGACACUAUAAGAAGAUCCUGACGACACUUCCUUCCAGAAGUGCUAUGCAACGAAUAAAGUAUCAACACUUUUAAGAGAAUAAAUCACCUCUCUUGUACACUGUCCAAAAGUGAAUAAAUUAUUCACUCAACUACCUAUAGCAUGCACCCACUCAUAACUACUAAGUACACUCACUAACUCUCAACACUUCCCUCAAGUUUGAGAGUAAAUAUCAGACAGGUCUAGCUUGUUACUCACAAACUCUAAUUGUGGUUUGCACAAUAAUUUUGUGAACAUAUCAGCGACAUGUACUCUAGUGGAAACAAACGGAGUAGUAAUGAUCCCCUUCUCAACCCGCAUAGGAACUAGAUGACAAUUAAUCUCAAUAUCUUAGUCCUCUCAUGAAACACAUGAUUAGAAACAAUACGAAUGUGAAUGGCGGCUUGAUUGUCACAAUACAUAUCCAUAAGCAAUUUCACUACAAAUCUUAACUCCUCCAAAAGAUGCCUUAUCCACAUAAGCUCACACAAAGUAUGAGCCAAGCUGUGUACUCAGUUUCAGCACUAGACUGUGCAACUACAGUCUGCUUCUUACUCUUUCAAGUAACGAGAGUGCCACCUAAAAAAGUGCAAUACCCUAUAGUAGAACUCAUAUCUAAUAGAGAUCCAGUCCAAUCGAAAUCGGUGAACGCCUACAUAAAUGACCAUGCACUCCAUAGAACAAACAAAGAACAGGGUGCAUCUUAAGAUAUUGCACAAUCCUCAAGGUUGUGGGUUCAAACACGAGGACGGCCACUUUGUGCGUAUAAUACCAAAUGUUAUCCCUCCCGGUUAUCAUUAAUUGGUAGGCGCAGUUUUUCAACGAUCAUAGCAUGGUGUUGAGAUAACUUCGCCUGAAAGUAUUAUUGGUGUAUAUCUUCGCUGGAUUAUUGGAGAAAUCAACGCUUUGGAAUCUAAUUUGGCGUAUUUUAAUACAAAUGCUGGCAAUGGUAUUAAGCAGAGCUUUGCACUAGAUAGACAGAGUGGGAAGAGGUGUUACAUGCUAGGAGCGAGGCGGCUCUCAAUUGAAUGGGGUAAUAACACAACAUACUGGAAAUGGGCAUCUCAUCCGGACUCCAGGUUCUCUCUCUCUCUCUCUCUGUGUGUGUGUGGGCGCGAUUGCUAGAAAUGGAAAGAACUCGUGAAAUCUAUGAAAACUUCAUUUUGCUCUUCGUCUGCAAGUGCAUGUAGAUUGUAACAUCGAUUUCUUUCUUUCAUUUUUUUAAUUGUUUAGCUGUAAGAGAAUUUCUCAUGGAAUAUUACUCCAAUAUAAACUCCAGUAGUUUGGGUUUGGAUGAGAUUCUCGAGUGGCUCAGCUUUUGCAUGUGUGCUGUCUCGAAUGGAGCCAAGAUGACACACGGGGUGUGUCUCCAAGACCACAUAACGUUGCCUACCUUUGUGUUUAAAGAACAACCAGAAGAGUUUUCGGGUUCAAGUGUUCCAUGAAGGCAUCGGUUGGCUAUGUCGGGAAGAAGGGGUUGGAGCUAGACAUGAGAGAGUUGUUUAUCUGGAAUCAAACAAUUCUCUACUUUUGGCAUUACAAGAUACGAUCACUUCCAUAUGAAGAGAAGAUGGUUGGAUGGAGAUCAAGUUGGGAGAAAUAUUCAUUGACCUAGCUGAUGAUGGUAAGGGGGAAAUGAUGUUUAAGGAGGUGGAGAGGCUCGGCCCCAAGUCCGGCCUCAUUAUCCAAGGAAUUGAACUUCGGCCAAAAAAUGGUACAUAACAUUCAUGUAACUAUUUGGUGACUACCCAAUGAGAAACUUUCAAAUAGCGCGCCAG